CACACCAGAAUUUGUCAAUUUUCCCACCUUUGAAUUAAUCGAAACGCGUAAAAUCACGCGCGAGAAAAAAUGUAAAAAAAAAAAAACCCCUGGCGCGACCCUUAGCUUUUCUAUAUCUCCGCCGACACUGCUAGUCGCCAGUUCAUAAAAUCUACACCAAAUUCCACGCACCAAUUUUUUCUUGGUUCUUGUCUGAAAAGAAAAAAAUAGCAAAAAAGGUUUCCAAUAAUCCAGUUCGUGCGAAGAAAACGAUGGCGUUGAUUACACUCAAUUCCCAAAAAAAACCAAAAAGAAAAAAAUAAAUUUUUUAUUUUAUGUGUUUUGAAACCUUCCUAAAGCCUAAACAGAAAGAAACAAUGGCAGUUUUGACAGAUAAAAAGACAGCCUUGCAAGGCGAAGCCGUAUAUAUGUAAUAAUAAUAAUAAUCCGCUCACGCCUUAACAUUUGGCAGUUCAUUUUAAUAUUAAUUUUAAUAUUUUUUUUCUUCUUUGAGUCAUUUUCACGGACAACUGACAGGUGACAGCUCCUAGAUCUCUCCUUGAUACUGUGACACCGAACAGGCUUCAUUUAUCAGCUUUUUUUUUUCUUUGUAUUUGAAGUGGUUGUUAUUAUUACUUAUUUUUUUGAUUGAAAGUUGAAACUUGGUAUUUGGUGAAAAAGAAAAAAGCUUUGAUUGGAAUUUUGUGAGGAAAAAUGGACGGAGGAGAUGGGACGGUGAGAUUAGGAGCUUUGAAUUUGAAAGCGGGUCGAGGCUUUGAUUCGGAUCCGGAUGUCUCCGUUUCUUCGCCGGUAACCCGGCAAAAAGCUGCCGCCGCCAAACAAUUCAUUGAGAAUCAUUACAAGAACUACUUGCAAGGAUUGCAAGAGCGUAAAGAAAGACGGCGAGCACUGCAAAGGAGAGCUGAGGAAGCUCAGAUUUCGAGUGAGGAACAAGAGGAGAUGAUGAGGAAUUUGGAAAGGAGAGAAACUGAAUAUAUGAGGCUGCAAAGGCGUAAAGUCGGAAUUGAUGACUUUGAAGAAUUAACUGUAAUUGGAAAAGGUGCAUUUGGCGAGGUUAGGUUAUGUCGUGCCAAAACUACGGGAGAGAUUUUUGCCAUGAAGAAGUUAAAGAAAUCAGAUAUGCUUAGUCGUGGACAGGUUGAGCAUGUUCGUUCUGAGAGAAACUUACUUGCCGAGGUUGAUAGCCGGUGCAUUGUAAAGCUGUUCUAUUCUUUUCAAGAUUCUGAUUUCUUGUACCUUAUUAUGGAGUAUUUACCUGGUGGUGACAUCAUGACACUACUGAUGAGAGAAGAUAUUCUUUCUGAAGAUGUUACGCGUUUCUAUGUAGCAGAGAGCAUUUUGGCUAUUCAUUCAAUUCACCAACACAACUAUAUUCAUAGGGACAUUAAACCAGAUAACCUAAUACUAGAUAGGAAUGGGCAUUUGAAGCUUUCAGAUUUUGGGUUGUGUAAACCCCUAGAUGACAAAUAUUCGGCAAUUUUGUUGGAAGAUGAAGAGUUAACUUUCCAGGAAUCUACCAGUGAAACUGAGGUCCCAUCGGGCUCUGAAAGACCGCCUUGGUUGAUGCCAAAAGAACAACUACAACAAUGGAAACGUAAUCGACGUGCACUGGCUUAUUCAACUGUUGGAACUCUUGAUUACAUGGCUCCUGAAGUUCUAUUAAAGAAGGGUUAUGGGAUGGAGUGUGAUUGGUGGUCUCUAGGUGCAAUCAUGUAUGAGAUGCUCAUAGGCUAUCCUCCAUUUUGUUCUGAUGAUCCUCGGAUAACAUGCCGCAAGAUAAUCAACUGGAGAACCUGCUUGAAAUUCCCUGAGGAACCAAAAAUAUCUUAUGAAGCUAAGGAUUUAAUUUGUCACCUGCUUUGUGAUGUUGAAACCCGUCUAGGCACCAGAGGAGUAGAAGAAUUGAAGGCACAUCCAUGGUUCGAAGGUGUUCAAUGGGAAAAGCUAUACGAAAUUGAAGCUGCAUAUAAGCCAACAGUCACUGGAGACUUGGACACUCAAAAUUUUGAGAAGUUUCCUGAAAUUGAUGGCCCUCCGUCCACAAUACCUCAAAUAGGACCGUGGAGGAAGAUGUUGACAUCGAAAGAUACCAAUUUCAUGGGAUUUACUUUUAAGAAAUCAGACAUCGUUAAAUCACUUGAAAGUUCAGGUACUGACAUGAGAUCCAACGAACCUUCGAAAGCCCCAUCUCUUAUUUCCUUGCUAGGAACAUUAUCGUUAUUGCUUGUGGCUGAUUGCUGAUUGAUCCAAAGAAUAUAUCUUCAUCACAGUAAUCAACCGUAGAUGCCUCAUUUAGCAUUGAAAUACCUAUAUGGUAUGCAGAUGAGAGCCAGCUAGUUGCUCUAUUUUGGUUUUGUUUUCUUUACCCCUUUCUCUCAAGUCAGAUUGAUCUUCAAGAAACGGUAAUACCAGAAGGUGAGCAGAAGCAGGAAACUUGAAUCUGUUAAGAGCAGGUGAUCUUAGUUUCAUCUCCAGGUAUACCCUAAAGCCCAAAGAUUAUCACAUGAGAGAUUGAAUUUGUCAUGAACUGCUGCUGCCUGGAGACAUGAAUAAGGUCAACUAAAAAAUUGGAAGUCCUCUUGGCCACUAUCCUUUUGUUUCCCCAAAUAUUGUGCUGUAUACUGUAAAGCCAAAAUUAUGUUCAAUCCAUUUUGAGAGUAAUUUUCCCCGGAAGUUAAAUUUCCCUUGUUAAAGUUACCAAAAAUUUUCAUUUGAAAAGAAUUUCUAUGUAUAUCCAACAAAUCAUUAUCAAAUCCAUUCUUGUCUGUGAAAAAGUGGUUCCUCCUGCUGGACCACAACUUCUUUUGCCCUUUGAAAUUUAGAAUGUGAAUACAAAUUUUAAUUUAUUGCUUUUUGAAAAAAUAGGAUAGGAGAG